GCCUGGCUGGCUCAGUUGGAAGAGUGUGAGACUCUUGAUCUCCUGGUCGUGGGUUCGAGCCCCACAACAGGUG